rnacentral:lncRNA from 1 species
GGCUGGGUGCAGACCCUGCUGGGCCUGGACCCUGCAUAAGCCUCCCUGCCUCACCUCACUCUGUUUCCUAAUUUGUCAAGUGGGGUGCUGGCCCCAGGUCCACAUGCCCUUUCUGGCUCUGAUCCUGUAGCCCUGAAAGGGAGGGGCCCUUGUCCUGUGGCCCCCCCUACCCUGCCUGGGUUAAUGUGUAAUUUUUGGAUGACAGACGCAGGCACCUUUCUGUGUCUGUCUCUAGGAGGGUGGAAACAGCAGCGCUUCUACAUGUAUUAACCUGAGGUGACCUUUCCCUGAAUCUUUGGGGCCUUGGGUGCUCCAUUCUUGGAUUUGAGUGUGGCAUUUUGGUAUCUUUCUAUCUUUUGGGAAAAUAGGUGAUCAGGGCACGGUCUAAUGCUUAUCUUGGAAUUACAUUAAUUUUUGUCUCUUUGUUCCUUUAAUUCUCACGCCGUUUCCCAGUUCAUCAAGGUUAUCUGUACUACUUGCUUAUCCUGGGCUUCAUGAUUUGUUUUUUCAGAAGAGCCUGAAAUGAGACCCAACAACGUUUUCCCUUUGUUUUCUGUCCAUUUAUCUUGUCUCCACCCUCCUUUGCUCCCUUUCCUUGACAGCAAUUUGUGGGAGCAGGAGUUCCCAUUGUGGCACAGCAGAAACAAAUCUGGGGGUUCUCAGGCUAGGGGUCAAAUCAGAGCUACAGCUAUUGGCCUACACCAGAGCCACAGCAACGCCAGAUCCAAGUCGUGUCCAUGACCUAUACCACAGCACACAGCAAAGCUGGAUCCUUAAUCCACUUAGCGAGGCCAGGGAUUGAACCUGCAGCCUCAUGGUUCCUAGUCAGAUUCAUUUCUGCUGCACCAGGACAGGAACUCCCGUCACAUUAAUACUGUGUCCCCAGAACUUAGUUAUAACUGGAAGCUUUUACCUUUUGACCACCUUUAUCCAUUUCCUCCGCCCACACUUUUCACUUUCAAAUUCCACAUGUAAGUGAGAUCAUGUAGUAUUUGUUUUUCUCUGACUUAUUUCACUUAGCAUAAUACCCUCAAGCUCCCUUUAUGUUGUUGCAGAUGGCCAGAUUUCAUUCUUUUUUAUGGCUGAGUAAUAUUUCAUUUUAUGUGUAGUUACUUUUGGAAGACAUUUUAAAAGAUGAAUCUUGGAGUUCCCUGGUGGCUCAGUGGGUUAAGGAUCUGGUGUUGUCACUGGUGUGGUGUGGGGGUUCAUUCCCUGGACUGGGAACAUCUGCAUGCCACAGACAUGG